rnacentral:rRNA from 1 species
ACUAUAAAGUGAGUGGCGAACGGGUGAGUCACACGUGGGUAACCUGCCCAGAAGUGGGGGAUAACACCUGGAAACAGAUGCUAAUACCGCAUAACAAAAUUAACCGCAUGGUUGAUUUUUAAAAGAUGGCUUCGGCUAUCACUUCUGGAUGGACCCGCGGCGUAUUAGCUAGUUGGUGAGAUAAAGGCUCACCAAGGCAGUGAUACGUAGCCGACCUGAGAGGGUAAUCGGCCACAUUGGGACUGAGACACGGCCCAGACUCCUACGGGAGGCAGCAGUAGGGAAUCUUCCACAAUGGACGCAAGUCUGAUGGAGCAACGCCGCGUGAGUGAUGAAGGCUUUCGGGUCGUAAAACUCUGUUGUUGGAGAAGAACGUGUGUGAGAGUAACUGCUCAUGCAGUGACGGUAUCCAACCAGAAAGCCACGGCUAACUACGUGCCAGCAGCCGCGGUAAUACGUAGGUGGCAAGCGUUAUCCGGAUUUAUUGGGCGUAAAGCGAGCGCAGGCGGUCUUUUAAGUCUAAUGUGAAAGCCUUCGGCUUAACCCGAAGAAGUGCAUUGGAAACUGGGAGACUUGAGUGCAGAAGAGGAGAGUGGAACUCCAUGUGUAGCGGUGAAAUGCGUAGAUAUAUGGAAGAACACCAGUGGCGAACGCGGCUCUCUGGUCUGCAACUGACGCUGAGCUCGAAAGCAUGGGUAGCGAACAGGAUUAGAUACCCUGGUAGUCAUGCGUAACGAUGAUGCUAGUGUUGAGGUUUCGCCCUCAGUGCUGCAGCUACGCAUAAGCAUCGCUGGGAGUACGACGCAGUGAACUCAAAGAUUGACGGGGCC